rnacentral:lncRNA from 1 species
AUGUCAUUGAUACUUUAGCAAAACAAUGAGUCACCGGCCGCAAGGCGUAAGCCAAAAAAGUCUAGAUCGAAGCACGCUAUACGUGGAACCGAUGCGCGGUUGUUGGAAGGUCACACGAUAGUCGGAGAGCUGGCUUAGCCCGGAAUGAUCGAGAAUAACGACUAGGAUAUAUAAGGCAUAAUUUUUGUGAAUAGAGUUUAGUCUUAAGCUAAAGUUUGUAAAGUAAAC